UACCAGAAAUGUCCAGAUGAAUGUCCCAAUUCUUUAUUUCAUAUUACCAAUGCAGAACUCACUCUGGUUAAGAAUCCAGAAUGGGGGUGAGGGAUCAAUAAAACCAAUAGACUUCAUUUCCACAUCCCAAGCAGCUAGGAUUAGUGGACAGACAGGGAGGAGAUGACUAUAUAAUUCUGAAUUUAAAUUAGAAAAGACAAAGUUCACUGUAACUAUUUUCCCCUGGACUUCUACUCCAAAGCCUUCUCACACAGUCAACCUGAGAGUUUCACCAUUUUGAGGCCUGAAAGGAUAAAAACCGAAAGACAUAUGUGCCCGAGAGUGCUGGAGUCCCACUAAUACACUACAAUCCUUCCCUGGAGCCAAGAGAGAAAAUCUAUUCAGCUCCCUGGAUAACCCUGCCCAGCCCUACAGGAGGCCCCAGUCUCAUGACCAACUACUAAAGGGUGCUGAUGGAUCUAGGGCAUUCUGGUGGAUAUCGAAAUGGCAUUUGGGGCUUAGGGAAUGUCAUCAUCAACUGGAAAUAGUGCCAUUUCAAUUCUCAACACUGGCUCUGAGGAAUCCUCAAGUGGGUGAGCAAGAUAAGGCAUGCCUAAGUCAUGACCAGUUCUCCAUGACAUAAUAAAAGGAUAGGAUAGCAACAGCAUGGAGAGUCCUCACAUUUCAAAAAGAUUCUUCAAUGGCACAGCCACCUGCUUCUUUAUCUCAUGACUAGACACAUGGCCUGGUCACUGGCCUGAGUAAAACAUCUUACCAAACAAUUCCAAACAAGUCCCAUGAACAGGGGGAAAAAAAAAAAAAA